rnacentral:rRNA from 1 species
GACGUAGGGUGCGAGCGUUGUCCGGAUUCAUUGGGCGUAAAGGGUGCGUAGGUGGCGCCGGAAGUCGGGUGUGAAAUUUCGGAGCUUAACUCCGAAACUGCAUUCGAUACUGCGGUGCUUGAGGACUGGAGAGGAGACUGGAAUUCAUGGUGUAGCAGUGAAAUGCGUAGAGAUCAUGAGGAAGACCAGUGGCGAAGGCGGGUCUCUGGACAGUUCCUGACACUGAGGCACGAAGGCCAGGGGAGCAAACGGG